GAUGAACGCUGGCGGCGUGCCUAAUACAUGCAAGUCGAGCGAACAGAUGAGGAGCUUGCUCCUCUGACGUUAGCGGCGGACGGGUGAGUAACACGUGGAUAACCUACCUAUAAGACUGGGAUAACUUCGGGAAACCGGAGCUAAUACCGGAUAAUAUAUUGAACCGCAUGGUUCAAUAGUGAAAGACGGUGUUGCUGUCACUUAUAGAUGGAUCCGCGCCGCAUUAGCUAGUUGGUAAGGUAACGGCUUACCAAGGCAACGAUGCGUAGCCGACCUGAGAGGGUGAUCGGCCACACUGGAACUUAGACACGGUCCAGACUCCUACGGGAGGCAGCAGUAGGGAAUCUUCCGCAAUGGGCGAAAGCCUGGCGGAGCAACGCCGCGUGAGUGAUGAAGGUCUUCGGAUCGUAAAACUCUGUUAUUAGGGAAGAACAAAUGUGUAAGUAACUGUGCACGUCUUGACGGUACCUAAUCAGAAAGCCACGGCUAACUACGUG
rnacentral:rRNA from 1 species